rnacentral:rRNA from 1 species
CUUUAGCAAGACUGCCAAUGAUAAAUUGGAGGAAGGUGGGGACGACGUCAAAUCAUCAUGCCCCUUAUGACCUGGGCUACAAACGUGAUACAAUGGCUGUUACAAAGGGUAGCUAAAGCGUAAGCUUAUGGCGAAUCUCAAAAAAGCAGUCUCAGUUCGGAUUGAAGUCUGCAACUCGACUUCAUGAAGUUGGAAUCGCUAGUAAUCGCGAAUCAGCAUGUCGCGGUGAAUACGUUCUCGGGGUUUGUACACACCGCCCGUCAAACCACGAAAGUUGGCAAUACCCAAAGCCGGUGGCCUAACUUGAGCAAUCAAGAAGGAGCCGUCUAAGGUAGGGUUGAUGAUUGGGGUUAAGUCGUAACAAGGUAUCCCUACCGGAAGGUGGGGAUGGAUCACCUCCUUU